rnacentral:rRNA from 1 species
AUUGAACGCUGGCGGCAGGCCUAACACAUGCAAGUCGAGCGGAUGAACGGAGCUUGCUCCUGGAUUCAGCGGCCGACGGGCGAGUAAUGCCUAGGAAUCUGCCUGGUAGUUUGGGCUAACGUCCGGAAACGGGCGCUAAUACCGUAUACGUCCUUAGGGAGAAAGUGGGGGAUCUUCGGACCUCACGCUAUUAGAUGAGCCUAGGUCGGAUUAGCUAGUUGGUGGGGUAAAGGCCUACCAAGGCGACGAUCCGUAACUGGUCUGAGAGGAUGAUCAGUCACACUGGAACUGAGACACGGUCCAGACUCCUACGGGAGGCAGCAGUGGGGAAUAUUGGACAAUGGGCGAAAGCCUGAUCCAGCCAUGCCGCGUGUGUGAAGAAGGUCUUCGGAUUGUAAAGCACUUUUAGUUGGGAGGAAGAGCAGUAAGUUAAUACCUUGCUGUUUUGACGUUACCAACAGAAUAAGCACCGGCUAACUUCGUG